rnacentral:lncRNA from 1 species
GGAGGCUCCAAGCACUGACCUUUCAGGAAAUGAUGAAGAUGUGAAGAUGGAAGAGGCCCCUGCUGCUCAGGGACAGCUAAACACUGAUGCAGCUUAUGGUGGUGAAAAUGCAAAACUUGGUGAAGCUGCCUUGGAGCUGCAGUUGCCACCUUCAUCUGGUGAGGCAAUAGUAGAGAUAUCUAGUGAGCCACUCAGCCAAGAGGCAAAGGAAGCUGCAAGCACUAACCCUCCAGGAAAUGAUGAAAAUGAGCUGCAAUUGCCACCUUCAUCUGGUGAGGCAAUGGUAGAGAUAUCUAGUGAGCCACUCAGCCAAGAGGCGAAGGAAGCUGCAAGCACUAACCCUCCAGGAAAUGAUGAAAAUGAGCUGCAAUUGCCACCUUCAUCUGGUGAGGCAAUGGUAGAGAUAUCUAGUGAGCCACUCAGCCAAGAGGCGAAGGAAGCUGCAAGCACUGGCCCUCCAGGAAAUAAUGAAAAUGCAAAGGUGCAAGAGGCUACUGUUGCUGCUCAGGUACUUCUGAGCACCGAACAUGCUCCUGAUGGUGAAACUUCAAGACUUGCUGGAGGUGAUACAGAACUGCAAUUGACAC